ACGGAAUGUGCAAACGUUAUUCGGAAUCACUGGGCUUAAAGAGUCCGUAGGCGGCUUGUUAGGUGAGGUGUGAAAUCCCCCGGCUCAACCGAGGAAUUGCGCUUCAAACCGGCGAGCUGGAGGAGGAUAGAGGUGGGCGGAACUGAUGGUGGAGCGGUGAAAUGCGUUGAUAUCAUCAGGAACACCGGAGGCGAAAGCGGUCCACUGGGUCCUUUCUGACGCUGAGGGACGAAAGCUAGGGGAGCGAACGGGAUUAGAUACCCCGGUAGUCCUAGCCAUAAACGAUGAGCACUAGACCGAAGGAUCUCCACGAUCUUUUGGUCGUAGCGAAAGUGUUAAGUGCUCCGCCUGGGGAGUAUGGUCGCAAGGCUG
rnacentral:rRNA from 1 species